rnacentral:rRNA from 1 species
GCCAGCAGGCAUAUCACCCUGCAACUCACAGCUAGCAACCCACUGAAGCCAAGCAGGUGUGAGCCUGCUCAGUACCUGGAUGGGAGACCUCCUGGGAAAAACGAAGGUUUCUGCCAGAA